GGGUCAGUAGGUUGGUCGUGCCACCGGUACGUACUGGUCUAACUGAUUCCUCCCUCCUGAAGAACCGUAAUGCCAUUAAUUUGGUGUUGCGGGGAAACAGGACUGUUACUUUGAAAAAAUUAGAGUGUUUAAAGCAAGCUAACGCUUGAAUACAUUAGCAUGGAAUAAUGAAAUAGGACGAUCGAUCCUAUUUUGUUGGUUUCUAGGAUUGACGUA
rnacentral:rRNA from 1 species